rnacentral:lncRNA from 1 species
GUGUUUGCCAGAGAUGUGGUAGUCAGGAACUACAGGGUCCCUUCUCCUUGUUGUCCCCUGAGAAACUUUCUUUGGUGGUUGGGGCCUGUAAUCAGACCAGAUGUCUUCCUUCAGUUAACUACUGGGGCUGCAGUUGGACUUGUGUAUGUGGUUAUCUUCCCCUGUCUCUGGAGCAGGAGUCACUUUGGUUGGUGCUGGCCCCUAUCAGGGCUGCUUGCACAAUGCCAGGCUUGUGGCACUGCUUUGGAUGGGCUCCAGCCAAGGGCAUAUUGGAGGAGGCAGGUCUGCAGGAGGAUGCCAGGGCUGGAUGUCUGUGCAGUGUUAGCAGGGUUUGUCAGGUCCUGGAGGUUGAGGGGUCCUGGAGCUGAGGCCUGGCAAGACGGGGCCUGUCCACAGAGAAUAUGGGGGCAGGGGCACUGUUAGCCGGCUAGGUGGAGAGUGUUGGCACUGUGUUGGUUCCUGCAGGUGUCCAUGUGUUAGGCUAGGGUUUGGCAGAGGGAAAUGGCACCCACCAGGUCUUUUGUUCCUGGAGAAGUCUCCUAAAGAUUCCUGACCCUCCAGCACAUGCUCUGAGAGUAAUAAAUAACUCUCUUCCCUGUAUACCCCAGGCAUUUUCAAACUGCUCUUUCUCUGCUCUCUUUGGGGGCUAUUUGUUAAGCUGUCUCUUUAAGGAUAGGGACUCAGUUUCCAAAGCCCUCCAGAGUCUCCCAGAGUACAACCUGCUGAUUUUUAUUAGUUCUAGGUCUUAAGUCCUUCUGAUUGUAAGAACUUGUGAAAUUAGACCCCGCUGAUUUUCAAAGCCAAAUGUUAGGGGGAGUUGUCUUCCCCGUGCAGUUUCUCCAUGCCUGGGUGCUUGGUGAGAUUCUGUUUUCCCUCCAGCUGGCUGCAUCUCUCCCUUCCAUGAGCACUCCCAAGGGUCAUUUUGCUCCUGACCAUGUCUCCACCCUUCCUUCCUUCUUCAGUGUGACCUCUUCUCUCCAUUUAGCUGUAGAGAGUCUGUUCUGUCAGUUUUUGGGUCAUUUUCUGGGUUAUUUAUGCUGAUGUUGAUGUUACCUAGUUGUAUGCGUAGGACAAGGUGACCUAGGAUCUUCCUACUCCACCUAGAUGUCUUAAUUUUUAAAAAAUAUCAAUAGCAUCCUGUUUUUGCACCUGGAUGUAAAUGUUUUCUUGUAUUUCUUUGAAGAUACUAUUUUUUUCUUCCUGUAUAAUCUUUAUUUCUUUUAAGUCCUUUUUGAUGUUUGUUGUCCUCUGUCUUUUUUUGUUAGAGACUUGCCUCAAAUGGUCAAUGGUAUUUGAUUAUUUGUCUAUAUUUAAGAGUGAAGUACUAAAAACAAGUUUGUGUUUAGGUGGGGCUGUUCAGUGUGGGCCUUCCUGUAAAGUGCUUAGUCACAAGAAUAACCUAGGAAUCCUAGACAAGUCUGUGAUAUGCAGAAUUCAGUAGAAUGUAAUUUUAAUGUCUAUAGCGGUGUAACCCUAUCAGAAAGAAAACAUUUCGGAAUUCUACCAAAUCUGGAAAGGUUUCAACACACUGAAGACACAUAAGGAUUAAAAACGCUGGCUAUGAGUAUUUAUAGAGGUAGAUGGGAAAGAUUUAGAUACCUAAUGAGAAGUAAAGAAUGAAAAGCCAUUGAAGUCAUGAAAGAAGUUAGCUACCAUCUUUUAGGCAGUGCAGACUUUCAGGAAUAAAGGAACAUUUAGAACUUAAACUCAGGAACUGGAUUUUAGAGUUGGAAACAUAGUGACUACAGAAAGGGACUUGAUCAUCUGAGUCACAAGAAAUAUCACCAGGAUGUGUUGUAGUUUCAGGUCUUAUGCCCCAUUGAAGUCUGGUUAAAAAGCACACUCAGUCAGCUGAGAAGGCAAUGUUCCCCUCAAUUGGGAUUUGUUCAGGGCUGUAAGCCUGGUUCAAUAUCCACAAAUCAGUUAUUGUAAUAUACUAUAUUAAUAAAAUGCAGGGUAAAAAUCAUGGUCAUUUCAGUGGAUGCAGAAAAAGUACUUAACAAAAUUCAUCAUCAUUUAUGAUAACUCAAAUGAAGCAGGAAUGGGAGAAAUUACCUCAACAUAAUAAAGGCUAAAUAUGACAAGUCCACAGCCAAAAUCCUUCUCAACAGUGAAGAGCUGAAAGCUUUUCUGUAAUAUUGGGAACAAGACAAGGAUGCCUACUCUCUCCACUUUAAUUCAACAUAGUCUUGAAAGUCCUUGGCAGAGCAAUUACAAAAGAAAAAGAAGAAAGUCAACAAAUGGUGUUGGGAAAAUUGGACGGCCACAUACAAAGAAUGAAAUUAGACCACUGUCUUACAUGACACACAGAAAUUAACUCAAAAUGGAUUAAGGACUGUCGAACACACAAGACCUGAAACCAUAAAAGUAGAAGAAAACAUAGGCGGUAAGCUCCUUGACAUAGGUAUUACCAAAAAAAUAGUUUUUUAAUCUGACACCAAAACAAAAGCAAAAAUAAAUGAAUGGGCUUACAUUAAACUAAAGAGCUUCUGCACAGCAAAGGAAAACAUCAACUAAAUAGAAAUGCAACCUACCGAGAGAAAAUAUUUGUAAAUCAUGUAUCUGGUAAGGGGUUAAUAUUAAACACAUAUAAAGAAUUCAUAUAACUUAAUGGUAAAAACCCUGAUUAGAAAAUGGACAGAAAAUCUGAAUAGACAUUUUUCAAAAAAAGACAUACAGAUGGCCAAUAGGUACAUACAAUAGGUACAAUAGGUACCAAUAGGUACUCAGCAUCAUUAAUCAUCAGGUAAAUGCAGAGCAAAACCAUAGUAAGAUACCACCCACACCUAUUAGAAUGGCUGUUAUCAAAAAGACAAUAAAUAAAUAAAUGUUGGGAAGGAUGUGGAGAAAAGGGAACCUUGUGUAGUACUGAGGGAAUGCAAAUUAGUGUAGCCACUAUGGAAAAAUUUUUUAAGAUUCCUCAAAAAAUUAAAACUAGGGCAGCCCAGGUGGCUCAGCAGUUUAGCACCGCCUUCAGCCCAGGGUGUGAUCCUGGAGACCUGGGAUCGAGUCCCAUGUCAGGCUCCCUGCAUGGAGCCUGCUUCUCCCUCUGCCUGUGUCUGGGCCUCUCUC